rnacentral:tRNA from 1 species
GCCUGGGUGACUCAGUCGGUUGAGCGUCUGACUUCGGUUCAGGUCAUGAUCUCACGGUUCAUGGGUUCGAACCCUAUGUCGGGCU